rnacentral:tRNA from 1 species
UUAAGUAAAGUAUAAUAAUAAUUACAUAACGCUUACAACGUUGAAAUCUUUUUGUACUUAAU